UUUUGUUUUUUUUUUCAUUCAUGAGACACCCUCAGACAUUUUAUUAGGGGCUUAGAAAGGGUCCUACAGGAUCUUCCUCUGUGUUCCCAAGGGUUAUGGCCCUAGGAAUAGAUCAGAUCUGGACGUAGGACAAGGUGACAUCACCGUGGAUCUCCACCAAGUCCACCCUCUGGAAGGCUGAGAGGCUAUGGGAGAAGUCGAAGAGGUGCUGGCCAUUGGCAUACACCUUGAAGCGAUCUGCACCACAACGAACGGACAGAUCAAAGAAUUGUCCAGGACCGAAUGGGUUGUAGGGGACCUUCCUCUCCUCAGAUCCCCAAGAGCCAUUCAGAAAGCUGUUCCGAACCACAGCGCCCUCGGUCAUGCGGGGGUUAAUGUGCAGAGCCACGUCCCCAGAGGAUCCCACCUUGAAGUUGAUGACAAAGCUCUUGGCUGUGCGGGGUAUGUAGCCCUUGAUAAUGAUGAUUCUUCGAGCUAUGAGCCCCCCCUUGCAGUCUCCCAUUAAAUGGCACGGGUGGGUUGAAGGCUGGGGGUCCCUCCAUGGUAGGCAGUCUGCUUUGUUGUUGAUAGUACUGUCCGGGACUUGGGUACGCCUUAGCAGGCAUGGGCAUCUGGUUUGAGGGGGGCUGGCCUCCAAUGAAGUUAAUUGAUUGAAGCAUCAGGUCGCCAUCCACAUGCAGGUGGGUGACCAUCUGCAGCGGGAUCCGGUGCUUAAACUCAUGGAAGGGAGUCCCAUUCACCACCACCUUGAAGUGCUCCAUCAUGACCAUGAACACCAGCUCGAAGGCCGCACCCUUGCGGAAGGGCAUGCUCAUUUUCCUCUCCUCGUUGCCCCACGAGCCAUUCUGCUUCGAGUUCAAGACCACCUUAUCCCAGCCAUCAAAGCGGGGAUUGAAGUGGAAAGCGACGUCUGCCCCUUGGCCCUGCCCCACCUCGAAGUUCACGAAGAACCUCUUCAUGUGCUCGCUAGCCACUCCUUGCAUUGUGUCUGCCCUCUGAUGCCUCUCGCAACACCUACCAUCUUACUUGGGUUUCUCUUACCUUGGACGGUGGCUGAGAGGAGCAACCCCACGUCCAAGGAGUGGUGGUUGCGCGGGCGCAGGAGGGCCAAGAGGAGCUACUCCACGUUCAAGGGCUCCUGGGAGGGUCAGAUGAGACAAUGAACAUGACAGUGCCUCGUAAAC
ensembl:lncRNA